rnacentral:lncRNA from 1 species
GCACUUCAAAGUCGAACUGCAAGGGGCACAAGCUACUCUUGAGAUAACAGCCAAUCUGCGGCCUUGAAGAAUCACAAAAAGUAUAGCUUUCAGGUUGCAGCAUUCGGGAUCUGCCCGGAUCUGCGUAUGACACGCAUGGGCAGCGUCGAAAUAGCCUAGACGCACGGUCGGAAUGCCCUGACUGUCUCUAACGAAUUAAUGUUAGAAACGAGCAAACUGAACGAGGCUGUGAAUUCAUAUAGGCGCGCGAUGAGAAGUCCAACGUAGCUAGGUCCAAUUUCGGGCGCAUGUGUUUAACGCUCUUUAGAUAUCGAAGAAAAGUCAGGUUCCAGAGUAAGUGUCCGUUAUCGUCUACGGUUAAAACUGAAGUCCCAUCCAGCCGAGUUCAAGAUUGCCUGCUUCGUCUGAAGCAAAAGAAAAUCUCCUGAACCCACUUCAGUCGGUAUUUGGCAGAGACGCCGCAAUUCUCAACUGGCAGUGAAAUGUCUCCAUAGGCUACUAGACGGCAGGAAUUUGUACCGAGAGAAAGUGCUUCAUGUUCGUACGGCACUUAAAGCGGAGAAUCAGCGACUGAAACGGGUGGAAAUACUGUGAUGAAACUGUUACUCAAUGGUAGUAGUUUUCUAUUUCAAGCCACUGCGAAAGCCGUAACUGCUGUGUUUUGUCUCUGAAAGUCUGAAUAUACGCCAUAGCUUUUCA